AGGUAAUGUAUGGGGAUCUGCCUGAUGGGGGGGGAGUAACUACUGGAAACGGUAGCUAAUACCGCAUAAUGUCUGCGGACCAAAGCGGGGGACCUCCGGGCCUCGCGCCAUCAGAUGAACCCAUAUGGGAUUAGCUAGUAGGUAAGGUAACGGCUUACCUAGGCGACGAUCCCUAGCUGGUCUGAGAGGAUGAUCAGCCACACUGGGACUGAGACACGGCCCAG
rnacentral:rRNA from 1 species